GUCUAGUUCACACCUGCAGUUUGUGGAGUGCAGAUGUGUUUCACUUUUGCCUUGAUUAUUUGAUUUUAUUGUUCUAUUAUAGAUCUCAAUAUCAGUAAGUAGAUGUUUCCAUUGUGCAAUUAUUGAAUAUUGAAAUGUGUGAUGGUGUGGAUGUUUCCAAAUGUGAUAUCUACCAAUACAAACAACGUGAUUUUUCUACAUGCUGAGGGUUCUAGUUUCCUAUGCAAGAAUGUAUCUCACUGUAAUAGCUUUAACUUAUGAGGAUCUCAUACCCAGUGAUCUGCUUUGCCCUUAGUCUUGAGAAUAUUUAAAUCUGUAAGUAAGUCAUAUUUUUGUUGAGCAAGAAGAUCCAGAAAUUCAGGUUUUUGUUGAACAAGAAAAUCCAGAAUGCUUUGUUGCAAAACUUGGAGCUUUGGGGUUUUUGUUGAGCAAGAAGAUCUAGAAAUGCUUUGUUAAGCACUUGCCCUAAUACUUUUUAUCAUAGUGAAGCAAAUGGGAAAGAUUGUUGCAAAACAUGGAGCUUUAGGUACAGUGGUUGUAGGAGUAUUACUAUCUUGGCAGAUCCAUUAAAACUCAUGUGAGGAGUGAUUACCAUACACAAUGGGUAGAAUUAUUUUUUUUGGGAUCAAUGGAAGGUGUUUCAAUCUGAAUGAGGUAUCAAUUUUUUUGAGGGUCAUUCGUUUUCGAGUUGGCAGCUGCGGAGGAGGUGAACCUGAAGAUAAGAACAUCUUAAAAACCUCAAUUUGUAGUAGUUUUAUGGUACUUACGUGCAUAGUUUAUAACGAUAGGUACUUACAUUGUUGUUUGUUUCAAAUUCUCAAUUCCAUUCUUUUAUUGUGUAAUUGUUAUUUUAACUAAUCAACUCGCCAGUGUAAUCAAUAAAAUACAGUUCCAGGCCUAGAAUUUAUUUAUGUACUUUGUAUCAAUUUUCAGCCGAAUUCCAGCGAUUAAUUUACGAACAAUGUUGUUUGCUUCAUUUUUUGGCUUUAAUUUGGUGAUAACACUCGUAUGCGAUGAAAUAC